ACGAACGCUGGCGGCGUGCUUAACACAUGCAAGUCGAACGGAAAGGCCCUGCUUUUGUGGGGUGCUCGAGUGGCGAACGGGUGAGUAACACGUGAGUAACCUGCCCUUGACUUUGGGAUAACUUCAGGAAACUGGGGCUAAUACCGGAUAGGAGCUCCUGCUGCAUGGUGGGGGUUGGAAAGUUUCGGCGGUUGGGGAUGGACUCGCGGCUUAUCAGCUUGUUGGUGGGGUAGUGGCUUACCAAGGCUUUGACGGGUAGCCGGCCUGAGAGGGUGACCGGCCACAUUGGGACUGAGAUACGGCCCAGACUCCUACGGGAGGCAGCAGUGGGGAAUAUUGCACAAUGGGCGGAAGCCUGAUGCAGCAACGCCGCGUGCGGGAUGACGGCCUUCGGGUUGUAAACCGCUUUCGCCUGUGACGAAGCGUGAGUGACGGUAAUGGGUAAAGAAGCACCGGCUAACUAC
rnacentral:rRNA from 1 species